AUGGGACAGCGAAAUUCUCGUGUUAUUCCGGUAAAUGAUGGCGCGGUGUACGAUCACCAUCCCAGUACACCCCCAACACCCGACACCGACAAGGCGGAGCAACACUUCCAUCCGUGCGAUGAGCCGCCUGUCGAUGCCGGUGAGGGAGACGCCCAGAGGAGGGAGGAGGAGGAGCGGAGGGAGGCAUGGGGUGAGGAGGAGGAGGAGAUGAAGAAGAAGAGGAAAAAGAAGUUCUGGAGGCUGCCCUCUUUCCUCAAAGCUGCCAGAAAACACCUCAAGGUGAUCCGACCGAGUCAGACUGAGGUGCAGCUUAUUGAGCCACCAUCGCCAGCCAGCAGCGCUGAUGAUGAUAUUAUGUGCCGCUAUGAGCUCGGUGAUCGUCUGGGGGUAGGCGGGUUUGGUGUCGUUCAUGAAGCGAGUCGUGUGGAGGAUGGCCUUAAGCGCGUCACUGUGCGCGACCAUCACAGAAACCAUUGCCCAGCGCGAUUCCACCACGAUUCCUUAAUCCCUGUCCUUUAA
rnacentral:lncRNA from 1 species